rnacentral:rRNA from 1 species
GCCUAAGGUAUGCAAGUCGAACGAUUCCUGUAUCUUCGGAUACAGGGAGUGGCAAACGGCUGAGUAACGCGUAGGAACCUACCCCAAACUCGAGUAUAGCCCCGCGAAAGCGGGGGUAAUCCUCGAUAGCCCGUGAAGUAUUUUACUUCACGGUAAAGCUUUUGCGGUUUGGGAUGGGCCUGCGUCCUAUCAGGUAGUUGGUGAGGUAAAUGCUCACCAAGCCUAUGACGGGUAGCUGGUCUGAGAGGAUGGUCAGCCAGACUGGGACUGCGACACGGCCCAGACUCCUACGGGAGGCAGCAACUAGGAAUUGUGCGCAAUGGACGAAAGUCUGACGCCGCGACAUCGCGUGGAGGAUGAAGGUCUUCGGAUUGUAAACUCCUUUUCUUACCGAACAAGUUCUGAGUGUAGGUAAGGAAUAAGUGCCUGCUAACCACGUGCCAGAAGCAUCGGUAAUACGUGGGGCACGAGUGUUAUCCGGAUUUACUGGGCGUAAAGAGAAGCGUAGGCGGCUCGAUAAGUUUGGUGUUAAAUCUUCCGGCUCAACCGGAAACAAGCACCGAAAACUAUCGAGAUUGAGUCGAGUAGGGAAGAGGGGAAUUCCUGGUGGAGCGGUUAAAUGCGUAGAUAUCAGGAGGAAUACCAAGGGCGAAGGCACCUCUUUGGACUCGUACUGACGCUGAGGCUCGAAAGCGUGGGUAGCAAAACGGAUUAGAUACCCGUGUAGUCCACGCCGUAAACGAU